GGAAGUUCGAGUUGUGCCAUGUGUUAGCAGCUUUUUGCUUGCUGUUAUGACAAACAAAAUUUGAAAUUUGAAAUUGGCUGAGUGAAAAAUUUUCACAAAAAUCUUUUGAAUCUAUCAUUUCAAUUUCUCUUGCUCUCAUUUUUUCAUUUUUUCCCUCUCCUUUCACCGGUUGUUGCUGUCGCGGCAGUUGAAAGCUUCAAGUGGCGACUCCUGUUACGUUCAUUGUUGUCUCUGAUCUUGCCACUACUGUGAUUGUAUUGCAGCCAACACCUGUGAUUGUGCCUGCCAUUAAGUGCCACCAUAUGGUUGAGGGAAUAAUCUAUUUCUUUUUGGGUUCAUACCUCUCCUCUCCAAAUAUUGUCUUCAGGAAUCAAUUAUUGAAAAAUGCAGUGUGGUUUGCACAUCAAAGGACAAGAAAUCCUGAACCAGCUGAAACGGACUUGAAGACAGCUUAUUUUUUUUCAAUUGUGCUUUUAAUUUGGAAAGCGUACAAUACUUGAUAACUUUUCAGAUGUUAUAGAUGAAAUCGAAGUUAGAAGAUUUUUUAAAAGGAAAGACAAAAGUAAUUCAAGUAAACCUCUCCACUAAAUUUAACAGGUUUAAGAUGAUUUUUCUUUAUGUUGAUCCUGUGUAUAUUUGCUGGUUUUGAUUUGUGAUGACUCAUAAGCAAGUGCAAAAAUUAUGUAUGUAGCCAUGGAACAGAAGAAGGCUGAACGGGAGCAGAUCUUGCUCAACCAGUUUGCCAAAUGGAAAUAUAAGCUUGCCUAACUGUAUUGUUAGGUGAUUUUGCUUGACUGUGUAUGCUGAUUUUUUUUCUCUUUAAUCUAAAUUUGCUUCAUUUUUAUAAUUAUUAUUUCUAUUUGAAUGUCAUUUGGCUAAUUCCUUUUUCUAUAUUGCUCAAAUUUCUGAUUUUAUAUAUGUGUUAAUAAUUUUUGUUUCGUUAUUUUUGAACUAGGGUAAGGUCGUGUAUUGUUAUUUGGUUCUUUUCAUAUUUUACCAAUCAAUUCUUAUGUUAAUUUUUUUUCCAAAGUAAGAUCAUUACAUUCAUGAAAUGAAAGAAACAUAUAGGUGUCCAUAUAUGGGAUAAAUAAAAGAAAUGGGAGAUUCCCAACGCUCUACUAUAAAGGUAACAUCAUAUAAUAAUCUAAUAAGAGAAAUAAAAAAGUAAAGUUCUCAUCAAUUAGGAAGUAAGAAUUUGUUGAAGCUCUUUCUGUAGCUUCAAAGUCGACGCCAUUAUCUCUUCCAUACUAGUUGAUACAUUAUUAAAGAUGAACUUGUUUCUAGUCUUCCAUAAGGACCAGCUCAAAAUCACCAUCAUCAUUCUCUGAGAGGAGCUAUUAGAUUGGGCACGCAAGACUCACAUUCUCAAGUUCCACUCAACAUAGAAAUCAGAGUCUUCGGUGCUCCUUCUAGUAGCUGGCAUCUUUGACAGGUAGGUUGAAUCGAUGGGAUGCGGUGAUUAAGCUUUUGCAGCACUGGAAGCUUUUCAUGGAAGUCCCUCUAGAGAAAAAUCUUAAUCUUCGCUGGGAUUUUUAGCUUCCACAGUUUUCGCCACAAAUUUCAUUGUCUUAUAAUCUCUGGGCAAAAUUUAAUGGGAGGAUACGAGAACUCAUAAGUCAUACGAUUGGAAGUUUUAGAUGAAGAAACAACAUAAAGAUGUGGAGGAGCAAGCUAAGGGUUGCUGAAGAUUCGGAUAUUGGAUCCAUCACUAACUCGCCAAUUCUUAUGAUAAUUACUUUUGAUAAUAUUAUUUAUGAUAUUCCGUUAUAGAUAAUCACAUAAUUUUCUGAUUUUGGUUAACAAAGAAAACAAGAAAAAAAGGUUGCUUUUGACAAUAAUGUUUGCUCUUAUUUUGUAUAAUGGUUUGUUUAUUUCCUGUUGAUUGUAGGUUGAAGAAAAUACUACUAUAAAAUGUCUUUUUAACUUUGGUCUCUUUUAAAUUUAAAGAGUUGGAUAUACUACUAAAAUAGUUAAAGCAAAAAUAAAAAAUCAUUAAUUUAUAAAAACAAGAAUUUAUUUAAGCCAAAAAUAUUUUUGGAUUUCAAGUUCUUCAAAAUUUAUUCAUUUUAUGGUGAUUUAGAACUCCUAUUAGGCUAAUGCUAUGGAAAAGUAAAGAGUGCAAAAAGAUAAUUAGAAUUAUAAUAUAAUAAUUAUAGUUAUUUUGGCAGUGCCACUUGCUGUAUGUGAAACAGGUGCUGCAGUGAAGGAUAUUCUUCUGUAUAUGGUAUGUGAUGUUUUCUUACUCAGUAGAUAUAGUUCUUAUGUAGUUAUCUUAUGCUUUGAUGGUUUGUUUGCAUAUUAUUUAAAAUUUUAGCACAUUGCAAAAACAAAACUUUGGUAUUACUUAUGUUAUGUCUAUCAAAUAUUGUAAAACGAUAUAAUCUUCAUAUGAUGAUAGACAAAGUUCAAUCAGAGAAUGGUACAAAAGUAGAAGAUUGUGAUACAUAGAAGAUAGAUGAUAAUAAAAUGG